ACAAAGAGAGUAGCGCACUGGUGAGUAACACGUGGGAACGUACCUUGAAGUGGGGAAUAGCGUCUGGAAACGGAUGAUAAUACCGCAUAAUCCCUGAGGGGGAAAGAUUUAUCGCUUUAAGAACGGCCCGCGGAAGAUUAGGUAGUUGGUGGGGUAAAGGCCUACCAAGCCUACGACCUAUAGCUGGUCUGAGAGGACGAUCAGCCACAUUGGAACUGAGACACGGUCCAAACUCCUACGGAAGGCAGCAG
rnacentral:rRNA from 1 species